UACGAGUUUUUAAUGUAUAAAACUAUUACUGUAAAAAAAAUGCAAAAGUAUGCAAAAUUCGGCUGUUCGCAUUAGGUUUGAAAGUAACGUUACAAUCUAGCUUCGUUAGCUUUGUAUAGCUAGUCUGUAACGUUAUGCCCACGUUGUUCUAAUUUACAGCUUUUUAAUCAUUUAAACUUCCUUUUUGGUGAACAUUUCCUCUGAAAUGUGUGACUUGUGUGAGGAAUUUAGUUCAGUAACUUACGCAACUUGAUAUUAGUUUAAGGUCGACACGAGAGCGUCGUGUCAAAAGCAAACAUCCAGCUCAUUUUUUUUAUAAAUACCGCUAAUGUUCGGUGACGGAACUUAGAUUUAAGAGUCUUUUAGACGAGAAUGUUGUUGUUAAGAACACAAAUACGUGAUUUAUAUAUAAACAUAACGCCUCUUUGAGAUUUUGUUAAGACGCUGUCGGAGGUGUGAGCUUCAGGCUGUCAGCGGUCGUGUCUCCGUGGAGAGCAGCUCUAUUUCGGCCAUUGCUUCGGGAAUAGCCGCUGGCUCUUAUAACGUUAGUGACUAACAAUGCGAUAUAGUUAAUUUUGGGUAUAUGAGACGAACAAUUGUUGCUCUUUUUAGACUUAUACUUAUUCCCGAGUGUGUCGAAUUAGUGAAGGGUUGUUUUAACGUUUAUAAUAUUAUUUUUUAAGACUGUAUUUCGCUUUCUGUACUAGAUCCCACUCUUCUUUUUUCCCCCACUGACAGCGUGCAGAAUAACAGCUAAUAUUAAUGGAUCAUUCUAUUCAAGAGAAUGUCAACUGGAACUUGGAUGUUUUCAUAACAGGCUUAAAGAUGAACAAAUUGAUAAAGAAACCCUCCUGCUGGACAUCCAAUUCCAAAAGUGCACGCCACACUGUUGUCUACAACUCCCAGGAAAAGAAUCCUCUUUAGUAAGACUGCUCCGUGGAUAUUUUAGGUUAAGCAGUGCUGAAACCGAACGAACUAACACUAUUUAAAAUGUUUUGUGAGUUUA